rnacentral:rRNA from 1 species
UGCGUAGGCGGUUUACUAAGUCAGAUGUGAAAGCCCCGGGCUUAACCUGGGAACUGCAUUUGAUACUGGUAGGCUAGAGUAUAAUAGAGGGGGGUAGAAUUCCUGGUGUAGCGGUGAAAUGCGUAGAUAUCAGGAGGAAUACCAGUGGCGAAGGCGGCCCCCUGGAUCAAUACUGACGCUGAGGUACGAAAGCGUGGGUAGCGAACAGGAUUAGAUACCCUGGUAGUC